UUUGUCAUCAGGUGUGGAUUAACCAGACAACACUGAGUUUCUACAAGUACCAAAUCCAGGGUCAGGCGCUGGGAUAGGCAUCGUUCAAGGAGGAGGUUCAAGCUGGAGAGGCCAGCUGGCCAGAGAGAAGAGAGGGGCAUAGCAGGAGGAAAGGGACUGGACGGGGGAAGGUCCUUGCCGUCCAGGGUGAAAGGGACCACAGGCUCCCACGGACCGGCUCCCUUUUCCUCCCCAUCACGUAACCCUGCGAGCAAGAUGUUCUCCGGUACAGGGGUGGGCGUCUGUUCAUGACGUGGUCCUGGGGGUGUUUCUGGUGUCGCUGAGGAACUCAGAGAGACAGAGGGAAUUUUCAAGCUAUGCUUUUAGGAAAAUAUAAACGUCAACUGAUUUGGUUUCUGACUCUCAGCCCUCGACAAGUGCCAUCACCUAUUUUGUUACCUUCAACCACAACUACGUCUUGAUUAUGAGAGGCUCCCUGUGACAUUUGAAGUUCUUGCUUGCAUGGCAGAUGCUCAACACAUUGAAAUCACUUCUUUGCUCCCGUUUACCUACCUCACAGUUGAAGUUCUGGAAAAUUUGGAGAGAAUGUCUUCCCGGGAAACCUUACCCACUUCCCAAACAGCUCCGUGUGUCCUCAGCAGACCCCAUCUUGAAGCAAAUCGGUCCACUGGCGGUCGCUUCUCUGCUUGCAUUUGACCUUCAUGGUUAUUCUCACGACUGGCUGUGUCCUCCGCUGUGAUCAGUUGACUUUAUAGCACAAUCAAUUAAUUAAUUUUUCAAGAAGUAUUUAAGGAGCACCAGCUAAGUUUAUGACGGAUUUCACAGGGAAUCAGAAGGAAAUGCGACAGACCAAACCAGACAAAAAUCCGUUGCAUUUUCUGAAACGUAACCAUCGAAGACUGUUAGCGGUGCCGAGUAAGUUUUAUGAAGAUUCUGUUCUCACAAGACUAUUAUUUUGACUUUGGGAGUCCUCCCUUCAGGUGGCCGGGCUACCUUGCAGUGAGGGCGAGACCCCUUGACUGAAUCGUUGGUUCGAGAAGCCGUCUGCUCAAGCUGUCAGAGAAGAACGCAUAAGCGGAGGAAUAAACACACGAUAAUUAAAUGUUUUUCUCA
rnacentral:lncRNA from 1 species